UCCAGACAGACUAACGCAUUCCAGCUGUUCUGCGAUAUAUUCCCCAUUGGUUAACAGAUUAGCACACAGGGGGUCGCUGUUACACCUGUGAGACCUAGUCCAUUUGUCUGAAACACAAAGCGUCUUUCCUUUUAUCUGCAGUUUCCUGUAACUCUUCUCCUCAGGCAUUGUCAGAAAAAUUCAAGGGCUCUUGCAGGCAGAAAAGAGACACAAGCAUACAACUAACACAGCUGCCAAGCUAUUGCAAAAGCAGAAAUAUUUCUAAAGGCAUCCCUUCCAAAGCAACCUCUUGUCUUUGCUCUUCUGUGCAUGAGGGAAAAGAAAAGGACACAGCUGUGGAUGUGGAAAAGGGCAGAUUUUGCAGGACUAUUAAACAACAAAUUGUUAAAACGGUCAUGCCGCUCUCUUUCUCCUUCGUGGUUUUGAUAAUUUUUUGUUCAAAAAAGACACAUGCAGACUCAGUAACUCAGCCCGAAAGCACCGUUACCAUCCAUGAAGGAAAAUCUGUGCUUCUUUAUUGCACCUAUGAUUACUCUGGGUCUCCUGUACUCUACUGGUACGAGCAGUAUCCCCAUGAAGCCCCUCGCCUGUUGCUGACACAAUAUGAAGCCUCGGAUGAGGAGGAGAAGAGACGCAGGCGAGGGUUCUCUGCUAAGCUGGAGAAAGACUCCAAAUCCUUCCACCUGGAGAAAAAAUUCAGCGAAAUGAGCGACUCCGCUGUCUAUCACUGCGCCUUGAGAGACACUGUGAGCAAAGCCGCCAGGGGAGCUGCACAAAAACCCCACUUACUGAGGGCAUGGCUACACUUGGCCCAGCGGGAGAGUUUGGUGCAGGAUCACUCAUAGUCCUUCAGCUUGUGAAUCAUUCUGGGGUUUAGGCCUCCACUUUCCUGUCAUGGCAGGGUGCAUCCUGACAGGAAAAAACCACCACAGGCACCUAAGGGAACUUUUACUCAAAAAAAAUUUAGGCACGGUGAGAUUUUAGGCAACUACAGGGCUUGGGAGCAGCUGAACCGGGGUUUUGCGAAUCCUCGAAACGCCUGAUUCUGGGAUUUAGGCACCUACUUGCCACUUUAGGUGGCAAAGUCCCUUUGUGAAUCUAGCCCUUAAGUGUGUUACGAUGGAGAUUAGGCGCCUAGAGGGAUUCAGUGAGAGUUAGGCAUCUAGGAGCUUUUAAAAUACCAGAAAGCCUCUAUAUUGCCUCAUUGGGCACCUUAGUGCCUAUAAUAAUCAGACCCUAAAUGACUUGCCCAAAAAGUCACCCAGGAAAUUUGUGGCAGAGCAAGGAAUCAAUUAUUUUGUAUCUUUUGAGGGUAACUUUCAAAAACUGGUAACCCUCCCGUAAUCCGGACAAUGGCCUCAUUGUCAAAACUCCUCUGGAGAGAGACCCCGGGCGCCGCGUCCCAUGUGAGACCGCGGAUUGUCGCAAGAGAUGAGCGCUUGGUUUUCUUGUUGUUUUAUCUGACAUCCACUAGAGGGCGCGCCACACCUUCACAUCCGCAUUAGGUUUUGCCCGUGUGUAUCACAGUAAUUUGGAAUCAGACGCUGGAUGAGUCUGCUCGUUGUGUGGCGUCACCAGCGGAGAGGAAGGACAGAAAGUUCAGGGAGGAAGCAGGUUUCAUCUUUAGGACAUGAAUGGUCAUUCUCAGAAACGCAAAGGAGGAGGAGAUAUUCGCUAACUAGCUGCAGGUCGUAGUCAUAACACAAGGGUAACCUGAAGCUUCAAAAUGCUCUUGUUCGUGGCUGUACAGCUCUGGCUUCUGCUUCCGCAGUCAGGUGAGAGUAAAAACUUUCCUUUGCAAUAAAAGCAUUUGCAAAGAAAAAGAAAAAUACAGGUCUCUGAACAAAUAAACCGUAGGAGGAAUUUUGUUUUCCUUUGCAAAGAGACAGCCAGGUUAGCAUCACAAACCAA